rnacentral:rRNA from 1 species
UACGUAGGGGGGCUAGCGUUGUCCGGAUUUAUUGGGCGUAAAGAGCGUGUAGGCGGCCAAGCAGGUCAGCUGUGAAAACUCGAGGCUCAACCUCGAGACGUCGGUUGAAACCGCUUGGCUAGAGUCCGGAAGAGGAGAGUGGAAUCCCGGUGUAGCGGUGAAAUGCGCAGAUAUCGGGGAAGAACACCCGUGGCGAAGGCGGCUCUCUGGGACGGUACUGACGCUGAGACGCGAAAGCGUGGGGAGCGAACAGG